GACGAACGCUGGCGGCGUGCCUAAUACAUGCAAGUAGAACGCUGAAGAGAGGAGCUUGCUCUUCUUGGAUGAGUUGCGAACGGGUGAGUAACGCGUAGGUAACCUGCCUUGUAGCGGGGGAUAACUAUUGGAAACGAUAGCUAAUACCGCAUAACAACGGAUGACACAUGUCAUUUAUUUGAAAGGGGCAAUUGCUCCACUACAAGAUGGACCUGCGUUGUAUUAGCUAGUAGGUGAGGUAAUGGCUCACCUAGGCGACGAUACAUAGCCGACCUGAGAGGGUGAUCGGCCACACUGGGGCUGAGACACGGCCCAGACUCCUACGGGAGGCAGCAGUAGGGAAUCUUCGGCAAUGGGGGCAACCCUGACCGAGCAACGCCGCGUGAGUGAAGAAGGUUUUCGGAUCGUAAAGCUCUGUUGUAAGUCAAGAACGGGUGUGAGAGUGGAAAGUUCACACUGUGACGGUAGCUUACCAGAAAGGGACGGCUAACUACGUG
rnacentral:rRNA from 1 species